rnacentral:rRNA from 1 species
GCGCACCAGUCGAGAAUCCUCCGCAAUGCGGGCAACCGCGACGGGGGACCCCAGUGCCGUGGCAUCGCCACGGCUUUUCCGGAGUGUAAAAAGCUCCGGGAAUAAGGGCUGGGCAAGGCCGGUGGCAGCCGCCGCGGUAAUACCGGCGGCCCGAGUGGUGGCCGCUAUUAUUGGGCCUAAAGCGUCCGUAGCCGGGCCUGUAAGUCCCUGGCGAAAUCCCACGGCUCAACCGUGGGGCUUGCUGGGGAUACUGCAGGCCUUGGGACCGGGAGAGGCCGGGGGUACCCCUGGGGUAGGGGUGAAAUCCUAUAAUCCCAGGGGGACCGCCAGUGGCGAAGGCGCCCGGCUGGAACGGGUCCGACGGUGAGGGACGAAGGCCAGGGGAGCGAACCGGAUUAGAUACCCCUGUAGU